GACGAACGCUGGCGGCGUGCCUAAUACAUGCAAGUGAAGUUCAGUGGCGGACGGGUGAGUAACACGUGGGUAACUACCCAUCAGAGGGGGAUAACUACUGGAAACGGUAGCUAAUACCGCAUACUAUCGGAUAACCCAUAUGGGAUUAGCUAGGAGGUGAGGUAAUGGCUCACCUAGGCGACGAUCCCUAGCUGGUCUGAGAGGAGGAUCAGCCACACUGGGACUGAGACACGGCCCAGACUCCUACGGAGGCAGCAGUGGGGAAUAUUGCACAAUGGGCGCAAGCCUGAUGCAGCCAUGCCGCGUGUAUGAAGAAGGCCCUAGGGUUGUAAAGUACUUUUGGCAGAGAAGCGGUAUCUGCAGAAUAAGCACCGGCUAACUACGUGCCAGCAGCCGCGGUAAUAC
rnacentral:rRNA from 1 species